rnacentral:lncRNA from 1 species
UGAAAACCCCUAUUCUCUCAACUCUCUCUCAACUCACCUCAAACCUUACCCGCCUCCUAUCACUAACCCCUAACCCAUGGCUUCCCAGGCUCAUUGGAGGCCUAUACCGGCCUCUCAUGGCUUCCAUGUGAUCAUCUACGAGGUUUAGGACCAGAUCUUUAAGGGUUUAUACCAAGCCUUUACUCGAUGACUGUUCUCCGGUCAUCUUCAACCUCUAUCCGUCCAGUCUUGGCUAUUCAAGUUCGACCUUUGACUAUCCUGCUUAGAUUGAGGGUUUUCAAAGCCUUUCUCAUUUCCUGCGUUUUUAUGAAACCCUA